UAGGAAGGUUUUGAUGGCAAUUUCCCUAG
rnacentral:piRNA from 1 species